CUCUCUCUCUCCAUAUUCAAAUCCUAGAGGGGGUGUUUUUGGCAACUUGAUAAAAAGUGAGUUUUUGACUCUUUAUCAAGUUCUGUCAAAAAAAAAUUAUAAAAAAAAUAUUAAAAAAAAUCAAUUUUUUAUCAAAAAAAAUUACUAAAAAAGUUAAUUUUUUAUCCACUUUUCAAAACACGCCGUGCUCUACGCAUAUAUAUCUAUAGACACAUCUAUUGAGUUAGAGAAAGAGAAAGAGAGAGUGAAGGUAUGGAUGAGGAAGGUGUGUUGUUAUUGAAAGAGGGAGAAAAGAAAGGGGGUGGUUUAGUAACAUGGAGUGUGUUUGGUGAGGAGGUGAAGAGGUUGGGUUGCAUAGCUGCACCCAUGAUGGCUGUGACACUAUCACAGUACUUGUUGCAAGUUGUAUCCAUCAUGAUGGUCGGUCACCUUGGCGAACUUUCUCUCUCUAGCACCGCCAUAGCCAUCUCUCUCUCCAGUGUCACGGGCUUCAGUCUUCUUCUUGUUAUUGUUUGUAUAUUAGUGCUAAACUCACAGUGGGAGGCAUGAGAGUUGCAUGCAUUGAGGUUCCUUUCAAUUGCAACCUGUAUUUAUGUUGAACUGAUUGUGUCAUUUUGUGGGAUUGUCCCAGGAGUAUGGAAUAGUUUUCCAUUUUUUUAAGGGCUUGUAUAACUCUCUCUUUAUUUUUUAUUUUGCUGUUUUAGUGAUGACCACAAAGAAAAAGUAUUCAA